rnacentral:rRNA from 1 species
GAUGAACGCUGGCGGCGUGCCUAAUACAUGCAAGUCGAGCGAACAGACGAGGAGCUUGCUCCUCUGACGUUAGCGGCGGACGGGUGAGUAACACGUGGAUAACCUACCUAUAAGACUGGGAUAACUUCGGGAAACCGGAGCUAAUACCGGAUAAUAUAUUGAACCGCAUGGUUCAAUAGUGAAAGACGGUUUUGCUGUCACUUAUAGAUGGAUCCGCGCCGCAUUAGCUAGUUGGUAAGGUAACGGCUUACCAAGGCGACGAUGCAUAGCCGACCUGAGAGGGUGAUCCGCCACACUGGAACUGAGACACGGUCCAGACUCCUACGGGAGGCAGCAGUAGGGAAUCUUCCGCAAUGGGCGAAAGCCUGACGGAGCAACGCCGCGUGAGUGAUGAAGGUCUUCGGAUCGUAAAACUCUGUUAUUAGGGAAGAACAUAUGUGUAAGUAACUUUGCACAUCUUGACGGUACCUAAUCAGAAAGCCACGGCUAACUACGUG